rnacentral:rRNA from 1 species
ACAGAGGGUGCGAGCGUUGUUCGGAAUUAUUGGGCGUAAAGGCGCGUAGGCGGUCGGGUAAGUCACCUGUGAAAUCUCCUGGCUCAACUGGGAGCUUGCAGGCGAAACUGCCUGGCUGGAGUGUGGGAGAGGUGCGUGGAAUUCCCGGUGUAGCGGUGAAAUGCGUAGAUAUCUGAAGGAACAUCAGUGGCGAAAGCGACUUCCUGGACCAAUACUGACGCUCAUGUGCGAAAGCGUGGGGAGCAAACAGGA